rnacentral:rRNA from 1 species
GACAGAGGGUGCGAACGUUGUUCGGAAUUACUGGGCGUAAAGCGCGCGUAGGCGGUGAUCUAUGUCAGAGGUGAAAUCCCGGGGCUCAACCCCGGAAUUGCCUUUGAAACGGGAUCGCUAGAGUCCGAGAGAGGAUGGCGGAAUUCCUAGUGUAGAGGUGAAAUUCGUAGAUAUUAGGAAGAACACCGGUGGCGAAGGCGGCCAUCUGGCUCGGUACUGACGCUCAGGCGCGAAAGCGUGGGGAGCAAACAGG